GAGUUUGAUCAUGGCUCAGGACGAACGCUGGCGGCGUGCCUAACACAUGCAAGUCGAACGGACCGGAAUAAAAAGCUUGCUUUAGAUUGCGGUUAGUGGCGGACGGGUGAGUAACACGUGGAUAAUCUACCUGACACAAUGGGACAACACGGUGAAAACGGUGCUAAUACCAUAUACGCUGUUGGAGACGAAGGUAACUGACAGGAAAGGGGAAACCUGGUGACAGAUGAGUCCGCGGCUGAUUAGCUAGUUGGUGGGGUAAAGGCUUACCAAGGCGACGAUCAGUAGCCGGCCUGAGAGGGUGAACGGCCACACUGGGACUGAGACACGGCCCAGACUCCUACGGGAGGCAGCAGUGGGGAAUUUUCCGCAAUGGACGAAAGUCUGACGGAGCAACGCCGCGUGGGUGAAGAAGGCCUUCGGGUUGUAAAGCCCUGUCUUAUGGGAAGAAGAAAGUGACGGUACCAUAGGAGGAAGCCACGGCUAACUACGUGCCAGCAGCCGCGGUAAUACGUAGGUGGCGAGCGUUGUCC
rnacentral:rRNA from 1 species